UCCCCCUCCAUGCAUUACACCACAUCAGAUUUGUUAAGAGCCAAUAGGAGGAGUUUGUGAGGGGCGGACCUAGAAUUAAACAGGCCUCUGAUCUGCCUAUAUACUGGGGCUGUAAGGAUUUCUGAAAAAGCAGCCAUAUCUACGCAGACCAGGCAGAGCUGAGGAGACACAGAUCAAAUGAUGAAGAGCAGAUAAGAUGGAGGAAGACAAUGAUGACAACACAA